rnacentral:rRNA from 1 species
AUUGAACGCUGGCGGCAGGCCUAACACAUGCAAGUCGAACGGUAACAGGAAGAAGCUUGCUUCUUUGCUGACGAGUGGCGGACGGGUGAGUAAUGUCUGGGAAACUGCCUGAUGGAGGGGGAUAACUACUGGAAACGGUAGCUAAUACCGCAUAACGUCGCAAGACCAAAAAGGGGGACCUUCGGGCCUCUUGCCAUCGGAUGUGCCCAGAUGGGAUUAGCUAGUAGGUGGGGUAACGGCUCACCUAGGCGACGAUCCCUAGCUGGUCUGAGAGGAUGACCAGCCACACUGGAACUGAGACACGGUCCAGACUCCUACGGGAGGCAGCAGUGGGGAAUAUUGCACAAUGGGCGCAAGCCUGAUGCAGCCAUGCCGCGUGUAUGAAGAAGGCCUUCGGGUUGUAAAGUACUUUCAGCGGGGAGGAAGGGAGUAAAGUUAAUACCUUUGCCCAUUGACGUUACCCGCAGAAGAAGCACCGGCUAACUCCGUG